UCGGGAUAGCUCAGUCGGUAGAGCAGAGGACUGAAAAUCCUCGUGU
rnacentral:tRNA from 1 species